AUGAAGUUGUUGAUCAUUACAGUUUAGAUUUCAAAAGUGGGGGGCUUUUAGAAGUUGAUGGAUCAUGAGGGCUCUAAUUUCACCAGAAUAUUAAUCUAUGGGUGAUGUUAUAAUUUGAUGGCACGGCUGGGAUGUGAUAGAAAUGUAGGAGAUGGAACCUAGCUGAAAAGAGUGGGUCAUGGUGCCAUGGCCCUGGGUAUAUAUUUAGUCUCUGGCUCCUCUCUGCCUCCCUGAUGGCAUUUUGUGGGCAGCUUCCCUCUGCCACAAUGUUUUUUCUCCCUGCAGGCUUAAACCAAUGGGGCCAACAGACUAUGGUCUGAAAUCUCGGAAACUGUGAGCUAAAAUCUUUCCUCCUCAUUCAUUAUUCAUUUCGGAUAUUUGACCUGUUGAUCGUGACUAUUGUGGAACCUUUUCUUAAAUCACAAUUAACUGUUUUAUGAAAGCUCCAUCUCAUUUUUUCAAGAAUAUUGUUGUAGUCAGGGGUUGUGCAGAGAACAAUUAGAAUCAAGACUUGGAGUUUAUAAUAUUAUUUUUUAAUGGUCACCAGGAGUUAACACAGGAAAAUGCAGGAAAAUGUAUCCACAACCCCAAAGACAGAUUAUUUAGUCAAGAGCCUAAACCCCACAGCAGUGUCCCACAUGAGUCCAGAUAAAAACCCAAAGCUCAGGACAAUGCGUCCCACGAGUCCAACUGGAGAUCCAGAGCACACAAGAAGGACUUAUGCCAGUCUCUUUUACAGAUCUGUGCUGGGAAGACCCAAAGGUCAGCGAUGGAAGCCAGAAAGUCUAUGCCAGCAGGAUGAAGGAGUUGUGCUAGUGGGAUGAGGGUUCUACGCUGGAGCCGAGAAGUCACACUCACAACAAAGAACAGGGCUGUCCUGAAAGGCACCGUAGCCAUCCUCAGCAACACGGAGGCCUCAAGCUCCUCCGACAACAAGCACAGUCAGAUGAUCAUCAAGCGCUUUCUCUGCGACUGCUGGACACGUGCUCCUAGUGCAGAAGCGAGCUAGGCGGCAGAUGCCAAACUGCCUGCUGUGAAGUUUGUCUCCGCAGAGGUCCCAGUGGGCAGGCCAACCAAGCCCCUGCAGCUCGAGACUCCUCUCCAGUGCUCCUAAAAACUUGCUUGUGUCUUGGACUCCAAAAUAGCUGGGUCCUAGGGGUUUAGUUUCAGACUGAAGAAAUUCAUGCUUUCUUUGUUUCUAUUUUUAAAUACAGGAAAAACAAAUAAGAAAGAAGGGAUAACUUUACUAACUCUUCCAAGAGACUUCUUUUUUAAAGCCUAGGCUGUGAGCCAGUGGUCUCUCCAUCUCAGUGCAAGGUGACCAUUUAUAUUUGUCACAGCAACAUUCCAGCUCACUCUCUACCAAGGACUGUGGCAUCCAGUGUAACUUUUGUAUCCAUUGAACUAAAUUACCCUACGCAAAAUGA